GUCCAGCCGCCGCGGUAAUACCGGCAGCCCGAGUGAUGGCCGAUCUUAUUGGGCCUAAAGCGUCCGUAGCUGGCUGCGCAAGUCCGUCGGGAAAUCCACUCGCCCAACGAGUGGGCGUCCGACGGAAACUGCACAGCUUGGGACCGGAAGGCUCGAGAGGUACGUCCGGGGUAGGAGUGAAAUCCCGUAAUCCCGAACGGGCCACCGAUGGCGAAAGCAUCUCGAGAAAACGGAUCCGACAGUGAGGGACGAAAGCUAGGGUCUCGAACCGGAUUAGAAACCCCGGUAGUCC
rnacentral:rRNA from 1 species